UGGUGAUGAGAUGGUGGCUCCGCCUUCAAGUUAUCUCCUCAUGUCGGUCAUGUUCACCAUCUAACGGAUCCGAUACAUAACGUCACCAUCAUGGACGCGGCGGCACAGAACGAAGCGUGUGGUGGCAUGGCUACUACUCCGGUGGUGAAGAACGGACAUGAGCGAUGGCGGAAGGGAGAGCACGUGUGUGGAGAUGGAGGAUUGAUAAAAAAAGAGGUGCAAUGGCGGCUCAUGCUUACUUAUAUAUAUAUACUAGGUAUGAUAACACACACACGUAUAGGUUAGGGCAAAUGGGUGGAGUACGGGAUUAACAAUAAUUAAAUAAUUAGAAGAAAACCAAACCAUCUGGUUUAGUCUAAAGGAAUAAUUCAAUUAGACCAAUAGAGCGGGUUACGGUCGUUACAAUUCUUCCCCACUUAAUCGGAAUUCGUCCUCGAAUUCAAAUCUUUAGCCGACUGUCCAAUAACAUCCUAAAAGAAAAUGAUAGUCAGUAUUCUUUGGAUCUCGGUCUCCCGGAUCUUCUCCUGGAUUCGUCUCUCUGUCCUAACAAACAGUGAUCAACAUAGUCAUAAUUCCCUGUACCACUUUCACUUGCCGAUCAAAAAUUUCAACUGGCUGAAUAGGUGUAAACAUUUUUUUUUAAGGUUGUUCUUGAGCAUUUCUAUUUGCUUCAACGUCCCUUAAACCAUUGGUUGCUAUACAUUAGAGGGCUUUCCCACUUUGGUCUAUCAUAGCAUGUGUGCGAAUGAUCUUCCAUAAAGAGGCUUCAUAAGGUGAUAUCUGAAUGCUCGAGUAAUAACUGUUACUAUACAUGAUCUAUUUCAAUGGUAGAUACUUUCCUGAAUUUUUGUUUUUUCCUCGCGAGCUAAGCACAAGUCCUGGACAUGUCCUCUAGAUUUUAGCUUAGCGAUACGGUCCAUGAUUGCUCAUAUAUUAUUCUUCAUGAAACUUGACUCCGGUAGUCCAAUAAGUAAACCCAUAAUCAACAUAUCUCAUUUCCAAUCUGGAAAAAGUAAAUUGUGUAAAAAUCCCUUAAAUAGCUGAUGUACUGUUUUAACCAUCUGACAAGUCUGACAUGGAGAUACAAUGUAGCUACAUCUUUUUUUUUUUUUUUUUUNNNNNNNNNNNNNAAUAAAUUUUGUUACAUUUUUUUUUUUUUUUUUUUUUUUCACUCUAGGCCAAUGAUAGUAACACUUCAUAUAUAUGUACCUCUUACGUGUCGGCCACUCUGAACUUAUAAUAAUCUUUUCUGAAUAUGCAGCAACUUCUGCUCUGAAACACGUGACCCAAAAAUCCAAUUUUUUUUUCCAGAAACUACACCUACUCCGCUAGCAACCAAUUUAUGCUCUUCAAGCUUACCUAACACAAUCCAUGACUGCUCAACAUGCUCCUCUCUGCUCCAAGAAUAAAUCAGGAUGUCGUCGAUGAAUACAAUUGCGCACUUAUCCAAGUGUUUACAAAAACGUCAUUCAUAAGCUUCACGAAUGCUAACGGUGCCUUCGUUGAGCUAAGUGGUAUCAUUACAACUCAUAAUAUCCAUAACAUAUACAAAAUCCACAUCCGUAAAUACUCCUCAGCUAUAGCAAUCUGAUGGUAUACUGAUGCCAAGUCAAUCUUCAAGAACCAUGAACCUCCAUGCAACUAAUACAACAAAUCAUCAAUACUUAUCUUUAAUGGUCACUUGUUCAAACCUCUGCAGUCAAUAAAAAUUCUGAAAUCCCAUCCUUCUCUAUCGCAACAACACUGGUGGUCCCCAUAGUGAAAUACUCAGUCUGAUAAAAUCCUUAUCCGAUAAGUCUUCCAUCUGCUCUUUCAGCUCGGUCAUCUUUGCUGCCGCUAAUCGAUAUAGAGAUCGUGAAACUGGUGAUGUCCCUGACUCAACCCCGAUCGUAAGAACGACUCCUCUUGCUGGUGAUAGCCCUUCCAAAGGCCUCAAAUACAUCCACAUACUUUGUAAUAUCUGAAUGAUCCUGCAGCUCAUACUGUCUAUCAUCCUUAGCCAUCAAAAUGUUCGCCGAAAAUCCAUCUGCUCUUAUAUCCAAUAACUCCUCAGCAUGUAGCAUGUAGACAAUACAAACUCUCAUCGGAUCUAGGAAUAAGAACUAUUGCCCUCAGGCAAAACAACACUACUUGAUGUCAUGACAGCCAAUCAUUCUCAAGAAUGACAUCGCAUAAACUCAGCUCCAUCUCUGACGAAUCUCCGAAUAAAUCAAUCCCACGAGCAUAACCGGUACACUACGAUGAAUAUAAAUAGCUCCCACAUCCCAUGUCAGCUGUUUGAACUAACACGUCUUUGAAAUGAACAACAAUGCCAAAAACUCGGAAACAAAAUCAAGCAUAACUCCAAUAUCCUUACAAUGCAAGCUGCCGCACUCCCAAUCCAAAAGCGAUCCCCACGAGUUUAUAAACCGAACAUACCUCCAAAAUAGUCAACAUACUCGUACACAAAAACAAUACAUGCCAACCAAUGGCUCACACCUCAUACCACAUAACCUCCUGUGACAAAACUCGUGGAACGAUUGCUUGAAGUAGGGUAGAAGCAAAAACGUCACAUAUCCACUCCUGGAUAAUCUCAGAAUCAUGACCAAAGGAACUGAUAACACUCCUGAGACAAUUGACGAACUGAGACAUCACACAUCUGCAGUUGAACAUCUGUGUAGAACCCUGUUAGUCGAAGGAUGAAUGACGAUGAUUUUACUCAUCGUCAUAGAAAGAGACAAUUGAGUUAGUAAUUACUGGACCGAAUGGUGCUAAAAGAACUUCGCAAACAUUUUUUUUUUUUAUAUAUAUAUAUAUAAAUUAGUUUAUACUUUAAAAAUAAAUAAAAAAACUUCCAAAAAUUUUUUUUUUUUAUAUAUAUAUAUAUAAAUUAGUUUAUACUUUAAAAAUAAAAAGUAUAAAAUCGAAUCCCCUAAUCGCCAUCCCGGGUCGAGGCCGGGACGGAACCCCGCUCUGAUACCAAAUUGUGACUCCCGUCACCUCCAAUCCGGAGAACAGCGGCCACCAACAAUAUCUCGUACAAUAAAAGCCCAUAUACCCAAUUACACUCACCCAAAGCCCAAAUAAAAAUCCGAAUAAAAAGUCCAGUAGCACCAAUCCGUCCAAAUAUUAUUAAUCGACCUCGAAGCUUUGGCACAACAGGUCGACUAAGCUGUGUCGCAACAUGCACCACACCCAAUGUACUGGUCUCCGACCGACACACAGAAUUACGUCUCCAUGGUCGGCUAACACUCCAAUCACAACAAUAUACUAUAUAUAUAUACAUAUAUAUAUAUAUAUUGCCAAUUAUAAAUGAACAAGAAUUGUUGAACCAUCUAACAACCUAGUUCCGGUUUAAGCAAAGAACCUAAAACUAAUCAAACAAUGACAGACUCGAUUUCACAUAGACGGAACACAUUAGAAAUAAAUUAUACUUAUUCGAGGUCUUAAGCCGUGUAAAAGAAGUUCGGGAAAAGAUCCUCACCUUAGCCAAGCUUAGAGAUAAAGAAAUCAACCAAGAAGUAAAACAGGUUGACUUGUGGAACAAGGAAACGUCUUAAUAUAUAAUGCCUUUCGCCUUGGCUUGACAAAGUGGCACCUCCGGCCAAUUGGAACAUAAAACAUUAUUAUACAGAGGAAAAAAGUUGAUUAGAUUAUGGUCUAUACUUUAUAGAACUUGACGUAAGAAUCAAGUAUUUAGGUAGACAACUCUAACCUUGGUUUAGCUUGACCAAAGAGCACGUGUUGAGAUCUUUAUGUAACGUGAACGUCACAUGGUAUUACGUACAUCAGAUGAUCAUAUAUACGAGUUGCAACACGAGAUGAAACGGACACAAACAUGAAGCGCUUGAUGGCAUUGAUGACAUGGCUAUGACGACGUCAACGGGAAGACCAAACCGGAGCUGAUGACUAGAGAUCAAUCAAAGGUGGAGGAGAAUAAGCUUGCUACACAAGAAAGUGUGAGACCAUGAUCUCACUUGCUCGGAUCUCGACAAUGAUGGCUUGCGAUAACUCCAUUGACGAGAACAUGGCUCUCAGGUGGUGGCUUGUGACUCAUGCCGGCGCAAAUUAGUGGUUGACGGUGGUGAUGAGAUGGUGGCUCCGCCUUCAAGUUAUCUCCUCAUCUCGGUCAUGUUCACCAUCUAACGGAUCCGAUACAUAACUUCACCAUCAUGGACGCGGCGGCACAGAACGAAGCGUGUGGUGGCAUGGCUACUACUCCGGUGGUGAAGAACGGACAUAAGCGAUGAGAUGCGGCGGCUUCGACGUUAAUCAUCUCUUCCUCCAUGCCGCUAAUGAUCGUCAAUCAUAGAAGGAGAACAUGAGCGAUGGCGGAAGGGAGAGCACGUGUGUGGAGAUGGAGGAUUGAUAAAAAAGAGGUGCAAUGGCGGCUCAUGCUUACUUAUAUAUAUACUAGGUAUGAUAACACACACACGUAUAGGUUAGGGCAAAUGGGUGGAGUACGGGAUUAA
rnacentral:lncRNA from 1 species